GUGGGGAAUAUUGCACAAUGGGGGAAACCCUGAUGCAGCAACGCCGCGUGAGUGAUGAAGGCCUUCGGGUUGUAAAGCUCUGUCUUUGGGGACGAUAAUGACGGUACCCAAGGAGGAAGCCACGGCUAACUACGUGCCAGCAGCCGCGGUAAUACGUAGGUGGCAAGCGUUGUCCGGAUUUACUGGGCGUAAAGGGAGCGUAGGUGGAUAUUUAAGUGGGAUGUGAAAUCCCCGGGCUUAACCUGGGGGCUGCAUUCCAAACUGGAUGUCUAGAGUGCAGGAGAGGAGAGUGGAAUUCCUAGUGUAGCGGUGAAAUGCGUAGAGAUUAGGAAGAACACCAGUGGCGAAGGCGACUCUCUGGACUGUAACUGACACUAAGGCUCGAAAGCGUGGGGAGCAAACAGGAUUAGAAACCCGGGUAGUCC
rnacentral:rRNA from 1 species